GACCUGGUACGGUGGUCCGCCUUCACGGUGUGUACUGCUGGACCGGGUUCUACCUCUUGGUGAGCCGGCAUGCCCUUCACUGGGUGUGUCGGGGAACCAGGACUUUUACCUUGAGAAAAUUAGAGUGUUUAAAGCAGGCCGAUGCGCUUGAAUACAUUAGCAUGGAAUAAUAAAAUAGGA
rnacentral:rRNA from 1 species